GUAGUUCGAAAAAGAUGCUUCGCUUCGUCCAAUUUAGCUCAGCUUCAGUACGCUUUUGCUUUCGAGUAUCCGAUAUUUUUUCAAAUCGAAGAUUUUCAAUGACUUCAAGUUGUUCUAAAAUUUUUGCUCCACUUAACUCCUUGGGUGGCGGAUGUCGAUCGGAUUUACCAUCAAAGAAUUGGUUAUAAUGGGUCCUCCAAGAAUGAUUAGCAGG
rnacentral:lncRNA from 1 species